UUCUGGACAUACCUUAUUUUGUCUUCCACAGACACCUGCAAGAAUCUGGCCCGAUGAGAGCCCCUGCCAGAGUACACCCGGUAAUUGGGAUCUGGGUAGUACUGGUCCAGGUUGAGAGUCUUGCCAGCCUCUUGUGAAGUAGGAAUGAGGAGGAUUGACUCAACUUGCAUUUGGUCAAUGACUGUAUUGGCCACCACAGUCUCAGAAAUAUCAAGAAUGGACCACAGGGAAGAAUAUUCAGAAGAUGUCUCAAACCUGGACGCAUCAAGAACCUGCAACCAAAUUAGAAUAUGUUAUAGGAUAUACACACUCAUCAAAACACUGGUGGUCUUCAGCAAUAAAAUGAUCAUUGUUGUAAGAUAAAUGUAAAGUAUAAAUGACUGAUUGUUGUCCUUAUAAUUUGUUCUAUCUAAAGUGGUGCACCAUUAUAAGGGUGUGUAUGAUAAGAAUAGGAAGCAAUGUGUAGCAUGAAAUACAUAUGCAAGCAAUGUACUGCUUCACCUUGCAUAA